UGCCUGUAAGUAAACAUGGAGUGUUUCACCCCCAAACAGAGAGGACAAGCCAGCAUCCUUGGAACUUUAUUGUCAUGAUAGAAAGACUUUGGAGUGGUUCUUCCCACCCAUUUAACACCACAAGUAUGUGGACUUUUUGAAGAGCUUUGUCAGUCCACUUUCUGAGGGUGAAAAUUUACAAAGUGCCACAUAAAGUGUAAUUUCUGAUUGUAUUCCCAGAGCCAUAAAAGCAAAACUUCUCAACAUGGAGGGAGUGGCCGAGAACAGCUUUUGAAGGUGUUCGUUCACCUGUGGUUUUAAGUCUUACAUUUAUUAGAAGAAAAAGACUUGUACUAAACUACUUCGAAGCCUCAUCUUUAUUCCAAUCGAGAUGGGAAAGACGGUGGUAACAGUGAGGCUGCGGAUAACUUUUCAAAUCUCACGCUAAUUUCUACUGAAAAAAAAAAGUUCUGAUUAAAUCAUCCUUUUGAUCUUUUUUUCCUGGCCAACACUUUGACGAAAGAGACCUGAAAAGUACUUGAUUCCCUUUUCCUUUCUGCUGUUAUUGUUCGAUCUGAUUUUCCAAGGAGUUAAUUUAAAAAUGAACAUUUAUGCAGGAACCGGGGUUACAGAAGUAGGUCACCCUGAUCUGGUGGCGUGUCUUCCUGACUCCAUGAGAACUGGCAGGGAAAAUCAAAUAGAAGCUGAGAAGAUACCCAGAAAGACAGUAUUUGAAGGAGCAAACUCUUAAAUAAUAACAUUUGAAAUGGAAUGAGGAGUUUGGAAAACAGAUGAGAUUUAACUACAUGGGAGGAUGUCCUAAGGAAGAACAACGAGACCUUGUCAAAGAUGUCCUAAAUGACAUCUCCCAGUUCUCACUUUGUAAGGACCCUGAGAGUCAUUCAUCCUCAACACGAGAUCUGGAAAAACCUGUGCUUCUCCUGAACAAUGCGGCUGCUUUGCAGCUGUGGACAUGCAGAGUCUGGCCCGACUUUGCUCUCCCAGGAACACCAGAACCCCACGGAAGCCCUUGCCCGGCAUGUGCACACUCGGCGCGCUCAUCAGACUCUUAAGUCCAUUAGCCAAAUGUUUUUAAAAUUCUUUGGUUGGUUUUUAAAAAUCAAAAUGAGCUUUCUGUAAAUGCAGAACCUUUUCUUUAAGUGUGAACAGCCUCACAGAGAAAUUCCCCUCGUGGCUGUAAAAAAAUGCAGGUCGUCUGUUCUGCCAAACUUUCUGGUCAACGUCUCUAAAUCAGUCUCAGUGUGAGCGCUUGCUAGUUUGAAGUCCCACUGGCUUUGAGGAAAGAACCAGCAUGAGGCUGUGAUGUCUUUUUACUUGUAGAAAAAAAAGAAAGUCAACUAGUUAAUAAACUCGAUUCUACGCAGGUUCGUACAUCCCAUUUCGACCACAUGACCUCUCGGAGAGGAAUUUACUGACACUGCUGAUAAUUAAUCAUUUAAAAAUAACAAUUCUUAUGUUAUCUUUUUUUAAAGCUGUUUAUUAUUUGAUGGCUUGAAAUAGUUUUCCAAAACACAACAUGCUGUAAAUGGAUCCAUGGGCUAUUAAUUUGCAGGGCAUGGCACCGGAGGGAAAGCUCGUUAGGCAGGUUGAUGCAAUUACAGGUAUUGCAUAACCAUCCUCAGAGAACUCAGAGUGAGUCCGGGAUAACAUCCCAUCGCUGCUGCCGCUGCUGCUCUUGACGCAUUCGAAGAUGCACGUGAUACAGGUCCAAAUCAGAUGAGAAGGCAAAAGGCAGAAAGGUCAAAAAUAGCCCCGUAGAAAUGUGAAUGUGUUAAAAGGGAGAGGCUCCGUCUAAAGAGAGGACGCUACACUUCUGGCCUGUGACAAGGCUUCCCCAAGCAUGGGAGGGCAUGGCCAUGCCUGGCCCUGUCCAACACCACUUCCACAUCCAGUCUGUUUUUUUUUUCUUUUAGGUUGAGUUAAAACAUGCAAAGCAUACACAGUUAUAUACACACUUCAUUACUCUAGCACUCCACAAGGCUCCCACAUGCCCCUUUCGAGUCCUAAGGUCAACCACCACGCUUACCUCUUCCAUGUACAUCAGUUUUUCUCAUUUUUAAUCUUUAUAUAAAUGGAAAUACAUAGGAUACUGUUUUAUUCCGAGUCCUUUUAUUCAGCAUUAUGAAUAUGAGAUUCAGCCACACUGUCACAUUGACCAGCAGUUGGCUCCUUUGUUUUUUAGGGCCAUGCAUAUUCCGUUAUUUGAAUUUGUCACAAUUUAUCUACGCUUUGCUGCUGAUGACGUAUGGGUUGUCUCAAGCUUUGGGCUAUUAGGAAAUAAAGCUGCUGGGAACAUUC